AGGCAGCGCGUGGGGGGACGUUGUUUCCAAGCACUCAUAUCAUUGAGUCUGCAAGGGGAAAAAGCACUUCAACAGCAGCACAACAGCAGGGGCAGGGUGCGGGCUUCCUGGAUUUACAGCAGUGUAACGUGGAGCAGAAGUUGGUUGAACGCUGUCAGGACAGAAACCCUGCUGGCUUGGUAACACAACAACGCGCAGAUGAAAGGCCCCGAGCUCCUUAUCCAGCUCUGCACACAAAUCACACGUAACUGGGUUGACUUAACUUCGCUCUAAAAUUCAAUGGCGAGGACGUGCCAUGGAAAGCCGCAUCCGAGGUUGAUCUGUGGAGGUAAAAGCACCCAGCACCUCCUCACGACUGCCAGAAAAUCACACAGGGUGAUGAGCAGGGCGAAGCCCUGUCCUUGGCCAUGGGCUGAGCUCGGACUAUGCUGAGGUCACUUUGCUCAGCACCGCUCACAGCAGUGGGACUCUCGGUGGCUGUGGUCAGGGGAUGCACAGGGAACAGGUUGCCCGAGGAGGCUGUGGAUGCC